rnacentral:tRNA from 6 species
GGGCCGCUAACUCAAUCGGUAGAGUGACAGCCUUUUAAGCUGUAAGUUCUGGGUUCGAGUCCCAGGCGGCUCA